CUACCACUUGGUGGCGAUAGUGUUCGCAUUAUACCGCAUUUGUAAUUUCACUACCUCGACAAAGUGGUUCUGAUAUUUUUCUAGAUAGCAGCAGAUAAGAAAUGACAGCAGCAUAUAUACAACAUCACAUCAUUUUGAGCAAUAACGAGACCCUGAGAGAGAAUAAGACCCACAUGUGCUGACAAACCACAGACAGCUGCAGAUUCCUCCAUCUUGCCAGCCUCUUGGUCUCUGUUGAAGCGAAGCAUCCCCCCCACAGCAUGAUGCUGCCACCACCAUUUUUCACAGUGAGGAUCUCGUGUUCAGACAAAUGUAGCAACGUCCUCCAGAGAGUUACGGAAAAGAUAUUCACAAGGCCAAUCAAUCAUGCCCCAAGACUACGACUCAGAUGGUCUGCGGUUUGGUAGCGGCCUGAAUGUACGAGACGGGACGCAGCGCCGCAGUUACACGUCUUAAUGUGAGACCGGGGCUGAAGUGCAGGGAGCCUCUUUCACAAAAACAGCUCCAUAACACUGCUGGAAGCUGAAAAUCCCCAGACACAAAGCUCAUAUUGAUCCUCUGAUCUCACCCUUCAAAAAGAAAGGAAAGCAAGCAAGUUGAACCCCUUCCGUAAGUUUGUAUUUUUCCGAGCAGAAAUCCACUCAGUUAUCAUUUUUGUUAACUUUUUUCUUGGGGUAUGGGGGGUAAAAACUUAAUUGCUGCACAAUCCAAACACCUCAAAGAGACUUCCACUGAGCCGGGCUGUGGAAUCGGAGGCAGGUCCUUCAGAUAAGAACCGGUGCAAAACUCUGUUGUGUGUUCGCUUGCACGACAACCCAUCUCCUGUUGUAAUUAUCUUCCAUUUCUUUUCCCCUUUUUCGAGUGAUUAUCUUGUUUUUCCCUCCUUUUCCUGCUUUCUGCCUUUUCCCACCCCAGUCCUCGUCCCCCUGAGGAGCUGGCAGAUCCCAUCAGCGUUCGCUGGCUGGGAAUCUGCUGCCCUUUGGUUUAAAUAGCAUAACCCUCCACGUCCCAUAUUGCGUACACAAACAGGAAGUUAAGGCCUCACUUCUGAGGGAGGAUGCUAUGAAAGUGUUUAUUCUCUGCUAACUUACUGCGUGUUGUGUAUGCACUGCCUCAUAGACAAUGUGGCUCUGAGAAGUAUUUUUAACUUUCGUUUUCUGUCACAUAUCUCUGCUGCUUGAUUUUUUUGGGGGGGUUUAUUCAAUUUGGGGAGGGGGGUUUAUAUUCUUUCCCAUGUUGAAGAAAAUCUCUGCGGACUGGGUUUGCCUUCGUGAGAAAAUUGCAAUUUAAAUGGUCCCAGUAGGUCCUUUUUUCAGUAUUUCCUCCUGCUAGGAAUGCUUGGACUGGGACAUUUUUCUGUGCCUUUGGAAAUAAGUCCAUUCCGUUUCCACACUCGUCUUGGCUCCUGAUAAUUCUCCAAAUUCUGAAAUAAGACUUGCGAGAACGAUCGAGUGACUUACAGCGUGGAACAAGGGGGCUGAAGAAAAAAAAAAGAGAAAAUGUUGUUUUCGUUUCAGAGCUACAAAGUACACACAGCCUCGGUAGUUGGCAAAUCCUUGGGAACAUUUUUUCGCUCAUAGUUUUUGUUUUCAGCCUUGUGUGAAACAACAAAUAACGCAGUCACAGCUGGCACAGAUAUUGUUGUCAUUGUUAAAAUGCAUAAUAGCGCCGAAAUCCUGUAGAGAUGGAGGCAAUGAACUGGGGUUACUGUGUUCAAAAAAUAGCCAGGCUAUUUUUCUUUAUAAAUCCUUAAUAUUAACCCGUCAGUGGCCUGUGAGAACCCCGACUCUGAACUCCUGGACCAGGAGGUGAAAGAGACAGAAAGUCACUCAAAGUAGCUCAGUAAAGAAGUUGGUUUUAUUACAAAGUAAAACAAAUAGGAAAUUAUUGUAGGAUUUUUUUUUCCUGUUCUAUUGUAGCUUACAUUUUCAUUGCCAGAAAACUUGCAAAUGUAAGAAAUAUCUAUAAAAAGUCUCCAAGUAAAUCAUCCCCCCAAAAGUAUGCUGAUAGUCAGUUCAGUUCACUUCACAUUAUGGCUCUAAUUCACAAGGCAAGUCAUCCUAAAGCACUUAUAUCAAGAUUUUAAUGAGAUCUGAUCACACAGACUGAUUCACAGUUAAGUACCAACAUUUCAGAUUCAUCCUGGUUAUCAGACAAUACAGUCUAGUGCAGUUCAUAUUUUUAUUUAUUCCAUGGUUAAAUAAUGUAAAAAAUAAUUUUACAUAAAAUGAAGAAAAUGAUAUACAGCCCCCCAACCAUCCUCUUCAUGAAACGGAGCGUCUUCACUCUGAGGUUUCUUCAGAUUCACUGUAAUACAGAUUAUAACACACAAUAACUCUUGAUGUGUGUUACAACAACUUCUAACUUCCCCUUUGGAUCAAUAAAGUAUUUCUAAUAAAUUAAAAGGUUUCCUCUCUAAGGAAAUCCAGCAGAUUGCAUUGACUCCUUUCAGU